rnacentral:rRNA from 1 species
GGCUUAGAGUUUGAUCCUGGCUCAGAUUGAACGCUGGCGGCAUGCUUUACACAUGCAAGUCGANCGGCAGCACGGGGGGUAACCCCUGGUGGCGAGUGGCGAACGGGUGAGUAAUACAUCGGAACAUGUCCUGUAGUGGGGGAUAACGCGUCGAAAGAUGUGCUAAUACCGCAUACGAUCUACGGAUGAAAGUGGGGGACCGCAAGGCCUCACGCUAUUGGAGUGGCCGAUGUCGGAUUAGCUAGUUGGCGGGGUAACGGCCCACCAAGGCGACGAUCCGUAGCUGGUCUGAGAGGACGGCCAGCCACACUGGAACUGAGACACGGUCCAGACUCCUACGGGAGGCAGCAGUGGGGAAUUUUGGACAAUGGGCGCAAGCCUGAUCCAGCCAUGCCGCGUGAGUGAAGAAGGCCUUCGGGUUGUAAAGCUCUUUCGGCAGGAACGAAAUGGUCCGUGCCAACACCUCGGACUGUGACGGU